GACGAACGCUGGCGGCGUGCCUAACACAUGCAAGUCGAACGAAGUGGCGAACGGGUGAGUAACGCGUAAUCAACCUGCCCUUCAGAGGGGGAAACCAGUUGGAAACGACGGCAAAUACCCACUACUGAUGGAUGGGAUUGCGUCUGAUUAGCUAGUUGGAGGGGUAAUGCCCCACCAAGGAGAGGCUCAGUAGCCGGUCUGAGAGGAUGAACGGCCACAUUGGGACUGAGACACGGCCCAGACUCCUACGGGAGGCAGCAGUGGGGAAUCUUCCGCAAUGGACGAAAGUCUGACGGAGCAACGCCGCGUGAGUGAUGACGGCCUUCGGGUUGUAAAGCUCUGUUAAUCGGGACGCGGUACCGGAAUAGAAAGCCACGGCUAACUACGUGCCAGCCGCCGCGGUAAUUC
rnacentral:rRNA from 1 species